GACGAACGCUGGCGGCAUGCCUAACACAUGCAAGUCGAACGGGACCUCCGGGUCUUUUUGCGCUCGGGUGCGUAACACGGGGGAACCUGCCCUUAGGUUCGGUAUACCUCCCCGUACGGGGUGCUAAUACCGGAUAAGGUCUUCGGACCAAAGAUUUAUCGCCUUUGGCUGGGCCUGGGUUUGCUUCGCUAGUUGGUAGGGUAAAAGCCUGUCAAGGCGACGAUGCUGAGCUGGUCGGUGAGGAUGAUCAGCCACACUGGGACUGAGACACGGCCCAGACUCGUACGGGAGGCAGCAGUGGAGAAUAUUGGAGAAGGGGCGAAAGCGUGAUACAGCAAUGCGGGGUGAGUGAUGAAGGCGGUAGGGUUGUAAAGCUGUUUUACCCGGGAUGAUAAUGACAGUACCGGGAGAAGAAGCUCCGGCUAACUACGUG
rnacentral:rRNA from 1 species